UGACCGGCCACACUGGGACUGAGACACGGCCCAGACUCCUACGGGAGGCAGCAGUGGGGAAUAUUGCACAAUGGACGAAAGCCUGAUGCAGCAACGCCGCGUGAGGGACGAAGGCCUUCGGGUUGUAAACCUCUUUUAGCAGGGAAGAAGCGAAAGUGACGGUACCUGCAGAAAAAGCACCGGCUAACUACGUGCCAGCAGCCGCGGUAAUACGUAGGGUGCAAGCGUUGUCCGGAAUUAUUGGGCGUAAAGAGCUCGUAGGCGGUUUGUCGCGUCUGCUGUGAAAAUCCGAGGCUCAACCUCGAACCUGCAGUGGGUACGGGCAAGCUAGAGUGCGGUAGGGGAGAUGGGAAUUCCU
rnacentral:rRNA from 1 species